UACGUAGGGAGCAAGCGUUGUCCGGAAUCAUUGGGCGUAAAGAGCUCGUAGGUGGCUUGUCACGUCGGGUGUGAAAGCUUGGGGCUUAACUCCAGGUCUGCAUUCGAUACGGGCUGGCUAGAGGUAGGUAGGGGAGAACGGAAUUCCUGGUGUAGCGGUGAAAUGCGCAGAUAUCAGGAGGAACACCGGUGGCGAAGGCGGUCUCUGGGCCUUACCUGACGCUGAGGAGCGAAAGCGUGGGGAGCGAACGG
rnacentral:rRNA from 1 species